rnacentral:rRNA from 1 species
UAUGUAGGGUGCGAGCGUUGUCCGGAAUUAUUGGGCGUAAAGAGCUUGUAGGCGGUUUGUCGCGUCUGCUGUGAAAAUCCGGGGCUCAACCCCGGACUUGCAGUGGGUACGGGCAGACUAGAGUGUGGUAGGGGAGACUGGAAUUCCUGGUGUAGCGGUGAAAUGCGCAGAUAUCAGGAGGAACACCGGUGGCGAAGGCGGCCCACUGGGCAGUCACUGACGCUGAGGCGCGAAGCUCGGGGAGCGAACGGG